GACCCUGUAGCUCAAAUGGAUAGAGCACCAGCCUCCGGAGCUGGGGGUUCGCAGUUCGAAUCUGCGCAGGGUCGCCA
rnacentral:tRNA from 2 species